rnacentral:rRNA from 1 species
CCUACGGGUGGCAGCAGUGGGGAAUAUUGGACAAUGGGCGAAAGCCUGAUCCAGCCAUGCCGCGUGUGUGAAGAAGGCCUUCGGGUUGUAAAGCACUUUCAGUGGGGAAGAAAGCCUUGGGGCUAAUACCCUCGAGGAAGGACAUCACCCACAGAAGAAGCACUGGCUAACUCCGUGCCAGCAGCCGCGGUAAUACGGAGGGUGCGAGCGUUAAUCGGAAUUACUGGGCGUAAAGCGCGCGUAGGCGGUCUGAUAAGCCGGUUGUGAAAGCCCCGGGCUCAACCUGGGAACGGCAUCCGGAACUGUCAGGCUAGAGUGCAGGAGAGGAAGGUAGAAUUCCCGGUGUAGCGGUGAAAUGCGUAGAGAUCGGGAGGAAUACCAGUGGCGAAGGCGGCCUUCUGGACUGACACUGACGCUGAGGUGCGAAAGCGUGGGUAGCAAACAGGAUUAGAUACCCUAGUAGUC